UCUAAACGACUCUCGGCAACGGAUAUCUCGGCUCUCGCAUCGAUGAAGAACGUAGCGAAAUGCGAUACUUGGUGUGAAUUGCAGAAUCCCGUGAACCAUCGAGUCUUUGAACGCAAGUUGCGCCCGAAGCCUUCAGGCCGAGGGCACGUCUGCCUGGGCGUCA
rnacentral:rRNA from 1 species